rnacentral:rRNA from 1 species
UCCGGUGACUAUGUCGUAGAGGAUCCACCCGUUCCCAUCCCGAACACGGAAGUUAAGCUCUACAGAGCCGAUGGUACUGCAUUUUAGGAGUGUGGGAGAGUAGGUCGUCGCCGGGA